rnacentral:lncRNA from 1 species
CCUAAAUCUCAAUUAACUGAAUGACAAAGACAAAAGAGAUUAAAAACAUAAGUUUAACUAAAAAACAUAAUCAAAUCAUAAAUUAGCAGGGUCCAAAAUGAUAUAUAAUUAUGCACUGAUCAAUAGGCGUAUGGUCGUCGGACUACCGAAGUAGGCUAUACUCUCUUAAUUGCAAGCGGGAGAAGGAACCUUGCCUCCGUUAUAGCACCCUCUCUCCCCCCUUCUCCCCAAAAUCCCCCUAUAAUCAUAUUCGUAAAACUACAAGUUACAAUCCUUGAAAAGAACAUCAGUGAUACAAUUAGGUGGUUCCUCAAACUAGAAAACCAAGGUACUCAAAUGUAAAGCAUAAUCGUGAUUGACUUCCCAAGUGUAGAGACAAUCUAGAGAGAUCACUCUCAAAACAAAUAUUAUUAAACCCCUUUGUACUGCAAAAACAAAUCUUGCCCUGGCUGCUAGUGCCUCCACUUGUAAAUAUGAGUAAACGUUUUCAAGUAGGACCACAGGGGCUGCCACAAAAGCCCCAUGAGAGUCACGCACCACUAUUCAUGCGGCGCGCCCCCCCCCCCCCCCGCCCCCCACCCCCCUCCAACCUCCCCGGCGUCCCUUUUCGUCUACUAGCCAUGCUCCAUCGACAUUCAGCUUAAAUAGAUCUGUAGCCGGUGGGCAACACUUUUUGAUUUGGUGUGGGUGUUGAUCUUGUGUUGGUUU